rnacentral:rRNA from 1 species
GACGAACGCUGGCGGCGUGCUUAACACAUGCAAGUCGAACGGAAAGGCCCUGCUUUUGUGGGGUGCUCGAGUGGCGAACGGGUGCGUAACACGUGAGUAACCUGCCCUUGACUUUGGGAUAACUUCAGGAAACUGGGGCUAAUAUCGGAUAGGAGCUCCUGCUGCAUGGUGGGGGUUGGAAAGUUUCGGCGGUUGGGGAUGGACUCGCGGGUGAUCAGCUUGUUGGUGGGGUAGUGGCUUACCAAGGCUUUGACGGGUAGCCGGCCUGAGAGGGUGACCGGCCACAUUGGGACUGAGAGACGGCCCAGACUCCUACGGGAGGCAGCAGUGGGGAAUAUUGCACAAUGGGCGGAAGCCUGAUGCAGCAACGCCGCGGGCGGGAUGACGGCCUGCGGGUUGUAAACCGCUUUCGCCUGUGACGAAGCGUGAGUGACGGUAAUGGGUAAAGAAGCACCGGCUAACUACGUG